GUCCUAUAAAUCCACAUAUAAUUCUCGCCUUUCCUGUUCAGCUAAGGAAAAUAAACGUGUAAGGCUGUUUCUGGGAGCCCAGCUCAGGGACCGCUCUAAAUUCUCCUCUUAUUGAGUCCGGGCUGGAAAUCAUUCAGCUCGGCGGCGCGCCACCCUCCCCCCAACCCUGCCCGCGCCCGCGCCCGCCGCGCACACGCACGCGCGCACACGCAGGGCAGGAGCCGGGUAUAUAAAUAUCUCCAGCUCUCCCCAUAGCCGGGCAGAUUUAUUCCGCUGCCAAGCCUGCAGAAAAUUGACUUGUUCAUGGAGGCGGCUAUUGACACAUCACCGGGGGGAGGGUUAGGGGAGAAAGCAGUGGAGCCGGCGCCCCUCCAUUAUACGUUAAUGUAAUCAGCAGUGUGCGAAAUGACUGCGCGGAAAAUAGCAUCACUGACAUUUAUAUUAGAGGAUAUUGAUGGCAGGAGCUGUGACCGCAUCACUCUGCCUCCCGUUUCCACGGAUUGACACAGGAGCCUCUUGUUGGCUCCAUCCACGCUCGCCUCCCCUCCCCCUCUCCCCCUCCCGCCCUCUCUCCCUCUCUCCACCCACUCUGUGUCUCUCCAGCUCUCCCCCUCUGCUCGCCUCACCCCCACCCUCCCUAUUUACUCUUCCAGUCCAUUCUUUUUACAAAUAAUUCUGAGCACCUACUGGGUGCCCCGUGCGAGGGUCUCUCCUGCAUGCCUCUCUCCGGGUUUCUCCCUCUCCUUCUCCCCCACCGUGCCCUUGCCCUCUUGCUCCCUCCUCCCCGGCUCUGCUUCCCCCUCCCCCUUUCCUUGGCUGGGUGGCUGGACCGCUGCUGUCACAGCAGAUAGAUAAUUGAAAAAUGGGCCUCACCUUUGCAGCCAGCAGGAGUGGUUCAGGCAGUUACUGCCAGGGUUACCUACUCCAUCUCAGGCCCAGGCUCCAAAAGAGAUUCUGAGGAAAUUGGAUUUUACAUGGAUGUUUUAUUCGGGCAGAGGCUUUAGUGUAUAUAAAUACAGGCGAGGAGGCCUUGGAGGCAAGGAUGAGUGAGGCGAGACAAUCCCGCCUGGGGCCUGCAGGCUCAGGGGAGGCAGGCGGGCCAUGUGCUCAGCUCUGGGUCCCAGACCUGGACAUCAGUGCGUUCCCGCCCCCUCCUACCCCCACCCCAUCAUCUGGGACUAAAAGAGGUUAAUGCCUCUGUACCGUUCCUCAAAAGCUGCCUUGGGAAUUAAAAAAGUGUGUGAUUGUUGGGGAUUGUUGGCAGGACUGUAUACUGAGAAAAGAACGAAAUAUAUUGGAGAAGUUUGAGGACUGAUGCAGUAAAUAUUUAUUGAACCUGAACUUGUGAAGGUUUGUGUUUGGGGGACAGGAGUAAGUGAGACAUGACUGCUGCUUUCAAGGACAGUUGGGAGAAUGACAACCUCGGCUUUCAGGUUAGGGGCAGAGAACAGGAAAGGUGAGAGAGUGGGUGCUGAGAUCAUUUUUCUAGGGCCUGAUCAUCCGGGGAGGCUGGAGGAAGAAGCAGAAGGGAAAUUGUUCAGCUUGGAGGGAUGAGGGUCCUACCAACCCUUCGGUCUCUCCCUCCUGGGCCUGGUUAGCAGAGAGCAUCCAGGAACAGUGUGAUAAUCAUGGCCUCCAAAUCUAUAGGCAAGUUCCCAUCCAAGGUGUUGCAGUGAAUCCUGGUGAAAGUCUCUGAGGGCUAGAAUGAUGGGUUAUUAAUGAUCGAGAUAAGGCCUUCCAGAGAGACAAGGGGUGAAGAGGGCCUGAAUGAGGAACCCUUUGGGGGAGGCCUGAACUGAAGGUACAUGGGCAAGUGAAGGGCCUCAGAAGACCAGGGAGGUGGGAUUUGGGUGUGGGAAGGAGGGAGUAGGUGCUCGGGGGCCUCGGAUAAAGAAUCGUCCUGUGUUUGAAUGCCCCCAUCCUCAUAGAAAGGGCUUUGUUUUAGUCCCAGGCAGGGUCUUUUCUGUGCCUUGUCUGGUAUCUAAUUAGAGUCUAUGUAGCUGACAGCUUUAUUUUCUUGGAAGAAGAGCUUCUCAUGAGCCAUCCCAUGACUGAAGAACUGGUAUUAAUGUGGGUAACCAGACUCAGAGUGCUCACGGAAAGGGCAGGGGCUCCUUCUGAACUCUGAGCAGAGACAACAGCUGCCUCAUUCUAGCCACAUCAUUGAAAGCUGGACCAGUCCUCCCCCAGAUUCCAAAGCCCUCUUGUCCUCUGCCACAUUGUUCUACUGUUACAUCAUCAGCCUGCGGGGGCAGGACAGGUGCUGGAUAGAUCACGGCCAUCCCUCCAGCUGCCCUGUACACAUCUCAGGCCCUCCCGGAUGGCAUCUGGGAGCUCUAAUCCAGCUGUAGGAUCCUCCCUGCUUGGCUCCAGGAGGGAAGAAGCUACCCUUCAAGAUCCAGAGCAUAACCCAAAACAUUCUUCACCAAGUGCUUUAGCCAAGGGAACCAAACUCCCUACUUGGACUUGGAGUCUGGUCUUUACCCUACUCACUGUCCUUCUCAAAGACAAGACAGGCCCAUGCCUUCCAGAUGAUCACAGUCCAGUAUGAGAGACAGGCAUGAAAACAAAGAAGCAGAAGACACAGUGAGAGCCAACAUAAUAGACAUACUACAGGGUGCAGAGGGGACCAAAAGGGAGCGUGUACUCAGGUAGCACUUCCUAGAGGAGCUGGAGUUUCGCUAACAGUGGGCAAAAUGGGAGGGGGAAGAGAAGAACAUUUAAGGCAGGGGGAAUGGCAUUUGCAAAAACCUUGAGGUGUCACACAGCCUGGCACGCUUGGAGAACUCAAGUAUAGAGGGUAGGGUCACUUUGAUGGAGGCCAGUGGAAAGGGACAGAUAGUAAAGGGCCGUGCAAACUUAGUGGAGUGAUUUGCCCUUCCAAAAACUAGCUCUGAGGAUGAUGAAGAAAAUGGGGGAAGGGUGCAGCCAAAAAAGCUGGAGGUGAGAGGGUGGCGAAGAGGCUCGUCAAACUCUACAGGUCAUGAUCCCAAGGUCAUGGGAUCGAGCCCUGCAUCAGGCUCCACACUGGGCAU